UACAGAGGGUGCAAGCGUUGUUCGGAAUUAUUGGGCGUAAAGCGCGUGUAGGCGGCUUGGCAAGUCGGGUGUGAAAGCCCUCAGCUCAACUGAGGAAGUGCGCCCGAAACUGCUUUGCUUGAGUGCCGGAGAGGGUGGCGGAAUUCCCCAAGUAGAGGUGAAAUUCGUAGAUAUGGGGAGGAACACCGGUGGCGAAGGCGGCCACCUGGACGGUAACUGACGCUGAGACGCGAAAGCGUGGGUAGCAAACAGG
rnacentral:rRNA from 1 species